rnacentral:lncRNA from 1 species
CGUAGAGCUGCUGGUCAGAGAUGUGACUUGGUGUUGCCACACUACUGACUUCACUCUGAAAAGGCCAGUUUGGAAAAGAAGCAGCCUCGUGUCGCGGGAAGCAUUUGUUCCAAAUUCUGUGCUGGUCUGGGACUGCUCUCCAGGUCAGCCGGGUAGACCGCAUCCGUUUUGUUGAGUCAGGGCUCUGUAAGACUUGGUCCUUAGACGUUUUUCUUUCAGUCUCUGCUGCAACAAAGGGUAAAUUAAUAAUGAGGUGCAGACAAAUCGAGCCAAAGAGCUUUCAAGGGGAGCAACGUUAUGGUUUCAGUGCUUACGUUCUACUUUCGGUCUCUGAUUCUUCUGGGGUGCAAAACCACAAAAACCUUCUGUAGAGGCUGGAAUCGGUUUCAGAUUGUUCAGACAAGAUCAUCAUUCUUAUUCCUGACUCUUACCAGAGGCAGAGCUGAAGGUUGAGAUAUUUAAAGCUUUUCUUGUGGCCACAUAGAUGCUAAACUGUCAGAGAUGGGGAGAGAGAAUAAUCAAUUCAUCUCUAAUGUAAACCCACAGAAAAGGGCUUUUCAGUGAAAAGUAGUAAAAGUUUUACAUUGACCGAUGCCUCUGUGAGCUAUUUGAGGUGGAGAUAAACAACUAAAAGGGGAAGAUAAAGACUUAAAUAGGUCAAUAGAAGUAUUUUCAGAAUUGUAUUCCAUAUGUGAAUAUAGAACACUCAGAGGGAGCAGUCAACAGAAACAGCAGUGGUGCAUCAUUUUAAGCAAAAGACCUAGAUGCAUUAGUUUAGGGCAUAUUUUAAUAUGGUUUUACUGGUGAAUAAAUCAGUGUGGUUUUCCCUUAUAGCA